CGAGACUCGGGGACCCCCAUCACCCUCGCCGAGCCGCGGGUAACUCUCCUGGUACGACACUUGAUAUACUCGGACCUUUCACACGUUGCCUCACUGAUGGUGCGAAGUGAUGGAUCACUUUGAUUUCAGCGUGCACUGCCCUCCUUCCUAAUGAGGCUGAGCAUCUUUACCAGUGUUUACUCCUCCGGAUGGAGCAGUCUGGCGCUUCCAUUGAACUCAGAUGGAGUCUUGCUUUGUUGCCCAGGCUGGAGUGCAGUGGCGCAAUCUCGGCUCACUGC